CCAUUCUCUAAGCUUAGCCAGAUUUUUAAUAAUAAACCUAUAAUAUUCAUUUUUUUUUUCUUGACUAAGUAGUUUUGCUGACAGCUCCACUCUUACGUUACGUUAAUAAAUGCUUCUGUUUUUCCAAAUCUAACAAAAAGAGAGAGGUGGGGGGUUUUUUUGUUUUUUUUUUUUUUUUUUUGCUCUGAUGUGCUGAACAUUGCUUCAAAAUGACAUAUGGUAGUGAAUUGUUCUUGAAGAUAACUGCCUCAAUUUGCAUGCUGAAUAAGAUGUUCAUUUAAACUCACAAAUGUACAUCGCAAUGCUUCUUCAUAAAAAAAAGUUACUUGGAAAAUCCUCCGCAAUCAGUAGAAAAAAGAUUAAAGGAUUUCACUAUUUAAAGCAAAAUUUAUAUCUAACAUAGAUCUCCUGGUUUAUUUUUUCUUUGUGAAACCUGGAGAUAUGGCCAAAAAUUGUCAGCAUUUGCAGUUUUAUCAGGGUACAUGAAAAUAGGUUUUAUUGCCUGAGUUGAAGGAUUCACAUGAGAUAAUCUUGGUCAUGCAUUGUUGGGCAAUAUUUUUAAAAAUACUUCCAAUAUUUUCAAAGGUACACUACAUGCAGCCCUAGCUAUGGAGUUGCAUGGGAAUUUUCUGCAAUUUAAUAACAAGGAACUGGCAAAACAAUAACAACAGAAAAUGACAAGCACAGUAUAAUAUUUGAAAUGCAAUUCAACUGAGUAGAGAAUCAGCAAUGAUCCACCGCUGCCUCAGCUCCACUCUCUGAAGCUGGACCUCGACAUCCUGCUUUCAGGGCUGGAAGAAAAGGGCAGCAGGAAGAAACAGAAAGCCAGCUCUGAGACUGAGACCACAGAGGGACUAAAGCACCACCUGCUACACUCCUAGCUAUUUUCAGAUGAAGUAGCUGAACAAGCAGUAUGCUUGUGAUGGAAGCUUGCAUCUGAAUGGUGCAGCCAUGAGCAAGCUGAAGGUGACAUCACUGAGACAACAGAUGAAGAUGCAGGAGAAAAAGCAAAAUGCAGAGAACUGAGAUGCCUAAUUGCUACAGAGGCAGAGAGAAGCAAGGAGCUGAAACAACUGCUACUAGUUGAGUCUGAGAAAAGUAAGAAGUGAGGAGAGGUUGGCAGUGUUAAGAAAGGAGAUAGCUAAUGCUACAUGUCAUAUGUCAGAAAAGGUUCACACCUCAAAGACAGGGGGACCUUAAAACUCAAAAGAAAAGGAUAGCCUAGAGGUAUCCAAAGAUACUUUGAAAUAGCAACUAAAAACUCAAAACAAGCACCAGAAGGAGAUCCAUGAAGAGUGAAAGACUGGCAGAGGAAAUAGGUCCAGACUGAGAAGGUCUUGGUGUCAUUCCAGGAGUAACUUGCUAAGGCUGAAGCCCUGGUGGAAGAACUAGUGUCAUUGAGCUAUACGUACCAAGGCCAAGAAAAUUAACUGUCCCCCAUAGAGUAUAAGAAUCGGGAAGAGAGGCAGAAGGACAUCAGUGCUUUGUAGAACAAGCUUGCCAUACUCUGAGAAGACAUCAGGUUAGCUGAGGAGAGCCAGGCACUUAGUGAAAAGUUAAGUCUUGAGUGAUGAAAGUUUGAGCAGAACUCAACCAGCUAAGGAGACACACUGAGAGCCUAGGGCCUCUGUUGCUAGAGUCCAGGAAGAUGGGGGAUGUGAACAAACAGCUAAAAGAGAAUGAAUGAAAGCUGGAAAGAACCCUAGAGAGUGGGGCUGUAGCUCUGCAGACUGGAACAGACAGAGAGAAUGGGAGGGAAAAUUAAGUAAAUACCAAAGGGAAGGUGGACUAACAGCCUCUAGGACCCCACCCAUGUUAUGAGUCAGCAGGGAGAGAUGAAAAGAAAUGUUACCUGCACUGGGGAAUAGGCAGGAGCAGCAACCCAAAAUGACAGCAGGAAAAGAUCAGGGUGCUAUGAUAGGCCUACCUCAGUUGCAGCCACAGCUACAACAGUCACACAAAAAUGAGGUAGUGACAGCAAACAUAGCUGCAGAUGAGCAUGGGCGUAAUGAAAAAGGCACCAAGAUGGGAAUGAGAAACAAUCAAAGGGAAAAACCCCAACAAGAAAUGAGGAGAAAAGGAGUCCUCACCAGAACUGCAUCCAUGGGCCUCAAGGAGUGCCAGAGGUGGUGCUGAAAUGAAGGAACAUACUGAGCAAACAGCCCCUGGGAAGCAAUAAAUGAAGCUACAGACAGUAGGGGAAGCCACCCUCAGCUGCAACUUUGGCAGAGGCAACAGUGCAAAGAGAAAGGGAUGACAAUAGGCACAGUGGCAAGACGGAACAGCUGAGGUCAUAAAGAAUCCAGAGUGGGAGUUGCAAAGAUUGUGAAGGAGGAAAAAAUCCCCAAAGAUCGGACAGGAUGUUCCAGAAGAUGAGGCCAGUCCAAUAGUAGGAGACAAGAAGGAGUUCCUGCCCAAAUCAGAGGUAUUGGGAGGGAAUGUGAGAGGGAAAACUGUAGGAAGUAGAUGGAUAUCCAUAGGCAGCCUUCCUGAUAAUUGAUUGGUGGACUCUUAAGAAACUGCUUAGGAGGGAAGUGGGGAGUGUUGCUUAUGUGAAACUGUUCAAAGGUGCUGAGGGAAAACCAAAUCUCUGUGGCAUGAUAGAGUUUAAAACUAUGCCCAAAAAGCUCUAAAGGCUGUGAAUCAAUGUGACCUUGGGUUGGGGGAGAGACUUUUGGACCUUAAGGGAAUCCCAGAGGAGGUCAGUGGAGUAUUACAGCAUGGAAGAAAGCAAGUUCCAAGGACCAGGGGGGUUGGUUCAGUACCAGAGAUAUGAGAAUUGCCAUCCAUGGUCAUAGAGUGGAGUAGUCCUCCCAAAGAUAAUAGAAGUCCAAAGAUGAGCAGAAGAGAGGCUACAAUUCUGGUAGACAAUUUGGAUUUUAUGGUCAGCUGGAGGAUGUUAAAGGAAAUAUUUGGUAUGGUAGGAGCUAUGAAGUGGGCAGAUAUCCAAAGGGACAUAGAUGCCAAGGCCAGGGUGCUAUCAUAUUUGAACAACCCAGAGACAUCAUGUAGGCUGCAUCUAUGUUCAAUGGACAGUUUCUGCUUGGGAGCCCCACACAAGUAGGAGUGGACAUAAGAGCAGCUCCCUGUGCAGUUCUUUAAAUAGAGACUCACAAAGUACUGUAGUGACCCCGGGUCUUAGGGGAUGGUGGACUAGGACUGGCAGAACCUCCAGUAAUCACACCCUGAGAGUGUCCAAGAUCAGUCAGAAUGAGGGGUGGAUGCCAAGAAGAUAGCAUUGUACAAAGGGCUGAAGCUUGUGCAGGUUGUAAUAUCAUAAACCAAUAUGAUUAAAGCACCCCCAACAACACCCAGUUUAAGUGGGAACCAACAGUCACAUAGGCGCCAAGCAGGAGGUCAGACAAUCUGUGUAUGACCUGUUGGUGCAGAGAAUAAGAGUAACUGCAACUGGGGCUCUAACACCCCCCCCCCCACCCCCAACCAGCCAUCUCCAAAGUAAGCAAUGAGAAGGAGGCAGUCUGUAAAAUACCUUUUCCUAUGGUUAUUUUAUAUAAAGUUCAGAGUUUGUUUGUUUUUUAAAGUCUGUUGCCUCUUUCUAUUUACAAGGUUUUUCUAUGUUCUUUUUUUCCCAAAGUCACCUUUGCUUUACGUGUUAAACGUCUGUCCUUAUAACUCUAUUACUGUCUGUCUAGUUUCAUAACUGGGAUAAAAAUACAGUAAUGAUGAUUAAGACACUUUCAUGCUAAUCCUUAAUUUCCCUUGAACACAGUCUUCCUCAGAGUUUAUCAUUUUGUCUUUCAGUAACUCCUACUGGGUAUAACUCCAAUAAGGUCCUCAUUAUCUGAGGCUCUGUACAUAUAUGAAAGUUUAUUUUUAAGAAGGAUAGUAAUAAAUCAUUUUCUGUGACUGAAGCAGACAGAGCAAAAAGUAACUGUCUUAAAUUGCAGCAAGAAAAAACUAGAUUGGAUAUAAGGAUGAAAAUUUUAGCUUUGUGAGUGAUUUAAAACUGAAACAGUUGAUCUAGAGAGGCUGUGUAAUCUCCAUUUUUGGAAGUUUUAAAGAACAGGUUAUACAACACUUACCAUAUUUUACAGUGUAUAAGUUGAAGAUUGUAGCCAAAAUAUUUACUCUUGAUAUUCCUCCCCAGUUUAUAUACCAUAUCAGUACUAUGAAAUAAAAAAAUAUUGUGUUUCAAAGUUUGUUCAUCUUCAG